GAGGGAUUCUGAAUUGAAGGAACUUCUGGUGUGAUAUGUUAUUUUUUUGUCAUAUCACAGCCAGUAGUUACCUACGAAAUGGAAUCCCAA
rnacentral:pre_miRNA from 1 species